rnacentral:rRNA from 1 species
GACGAACGCUGGCGGCGUGCUUAACACAUGCAAGUCGAACGGUAAGGCCCUUCGGGGUACACGAGUGGCGAACGGGUGAGUAACACGUGGGUGAUCUGCCCUGUACUUCGGGAUAAGCCUGGGAAACUGGGUCUAAUACCGGAUAGGACCACUGCCUGCAUGGGUGGUGGCGGAAAGCUUUUGCGGUGUGGGAUGGGCCCGCGGCCUAUCAGCUUGUUGGUAGGGUGAUGGCCUACCAAGGCGACGACGGGUAGCCGGCCUGAGAGGGUGACCGGCCACACUGGGACUGAGAUACGGCCCAGACUCCUACGGGAGGCAGCAGUGGGGAAUAUUGCACAAUGGGCGCAAGCCUGAUGCAGCGACGCCGCGUGAGGGAUGACGGCCUUCGGGUUGUAAACCUCUUUCAGCACCGACGAAGCGCAAGUGACGGUAGGUGCAGAAGAAGGACCGGCCAACUACGUGCCAGCCGCCGCCGUAA